UGCCCCGUGGUGUAACUGGCAACACGCCUCACUCUGGAUGAGGAGAGUCUUGGUUCGAUCCCAAGCGGGGCAA
rnacentral:tRNA from 1 species